rnacentral:tRNA from 1 species
GCGGGGAUAGCUCAGUUGGGAGAGGGAGAGCGUCAGACUGAAGAUCUGAAGGUCGCGUGUUCGAUCCACGCUCACCGCA